rnacentral:rRNA from 1 species
GGUUAAGCGACUAAGCGUACACGGUGGAUGCCCUGGCAGUCAGAGGCGAUGAAGGACGUGCUAAUCUGCGAAAAGCGUCGGUAAGGUGAUAUGAACCGUUAUAACCGGCGAUGUCCGAAUGGGGAAACCCAGUGUGUUCCGACACACUAUCAUUAACUGAAUCCAUAGGUUAAUGAGGCGAACCGGGGGAACUGAAACAUCUAAGUACCCCGAGGAAAAGAAAUCAACCGAGAUUCCCCCAGUAGCGGCGAGCGAACGGGGAGGAGCCCAGAGCCUGAAUCAGUGUGUGUGUUAGUGGAAGCGUCUGGAAAGGCGUGCGAUACAGGGUGACAGCCCCGUACACAAAAAUGCACAUGCUGUGAGCUCGAUGAGUAGGGCGGGACACGUGGUAUCCUGUCUGAAUAUGGGGGGACCAUCCUCCAAGGCUAAAUACUCCUGACUGACCGAUAGUGAACCAGUACCGUGAGGGAAAGGCGAAAAGAACCCCGGCGAGGGGAGUGAAAAAGAACCUGAAACCGUGUACGUACAAGCAGUGGGAGCCCUGAUUUAUCAGGGUGACUGCGUACCUUUUGUAUAAUGGGUCAGCGACUUAUAUUCUGUAGCAAGGUUAACCGAAUAGGGGAGCCGGAGGGAAACCGAGUCUUAACUGGGCGUUAAGUUGCAGGGUAUAGACCCGAAACCCGGUGAUCUAGCCAUGGGCAGGUUGAAGGUUGGGUAACACUAACUGGAGGACCGAACCGACUAAUGUUGAAAAAUUAGCGGAUGACUUGUGGCUGGGGGUGAAAGGCCAAUCAAACCGGGAGAUAGCUGGUUCUCCCCGAAAGCUAUUUAGGUAGCGCCUCGUGAAUUCAUCUCCGGGGGUAGAGCACUGUUUCGGCAAGGGGGUCAUCCCGACUUACCAACCCGAUGCAAACUGCGAAUACCGGAGAAUGUUAUCACGGGAGACACACGGCGGGUGCUAACGUCCGUCGUGAAGAGGGAAACAACCCAGACCGCCAGCUAAGGUCCCAAAGUCAUGGUUAAGUGGGAAACGAUGUGGGAAGGCCCAGACAGCCAGGAUGUUGGCUUAGAAGCAGCCAUCAUUUAAAGAAAGCGUAAUAGCUCACUGGUCGAGUCGGCCUGCGCGGAAGAUGUAACGGGGCUAAACCAUGCACCGAAGCUGCGGCAGCGACACUGUGUGUUGUUGGGUAGGGGAGCGUUCUGUAAGCCUGUGAAGGUGGCCUGUGAGGGUUGCUGGAGGUAUCAGAAGUGCGAAUGCUGACAUAAGUAACGAUAAAGCGGGUGAAAAGCCCGCUCGCCGGAAGACCAAGGGUUCCUGUCCAACGUUAAUCGGGGCAGGGUGAGUCGACCCCUAAGGCGAGGCCGAAAGGCGUAGUCGAUGGGAAACAGGUUAAUAUUCCUGUACUUGGUGUUACUGCGAAGGGGGGACGGAGAAGGCUAUGUUGGCCGGGCGACGGUUGUCCCGGUUUAAGCGUGUAGGCUGGUUUUCCAGGCAAAUCCGGAGAAUCAAGGCUGAGGCGUGAUGACGAGGCACUACGGUGCUGAAGCAACAAAUGCCCUGCUUCCAGGAAAAGCCUCUAAGCAUCAGGUAACAUCAAAUCGUACCCCAAACCGACACAGGUGGUCAGGUAGAGAAUACCAAGGCGCUUGAGAGAACUCGGGUGAAGGAACUAGGCAAAAUGGUGCCGUAACUUCGGGAGAAGGCACGCUGAUAUGUAGGUGAAGCGACUUGCUCGUGGAGCUGAAAUCAGUCGAAGAUACCAGCUGGCUGCAACUGUUUAUUAAAAACACAGCACUGUGCAAACACGAAAGUGGACGUAUACGGUGUGACGCCUGCCCGGUGCCGGAAGGUUAAUUGAUGGGGUCAGCGCAAGCGAAGCUCUUGAUCGAAGCCCCGGUAAACGGCGGCCGUAACUAUAACGGUCCUAAGGUAGCGAAAUUCCUUGUCGGGUAAGUUCCGACCUGCACGAAUGGCGUAAUGAUGGCCAGGCUGUCUCCACCCGAGACUCAGUGAAAUUGAACUCGCUGUGAAGAUGCAGUGUACCCGCGGCAAGACGGAAAGACCCCGUGAACCUUUACUAUAGCUUGACACUGAACACUGGUCCUUGAUGUGUAGGAUAGGUGGGAGGCUUUGAAGUGUGGACGCCAGUCUGCAUGGAGCCGUCCUUGAAAUACCACCCUUUAAUGGCUGGUGUUCUAACGUAGGCCCCUAAUCGGGGUUGCGGACAGUGUCUGGUGGGUAGUUUGACUGGGGCGGUCUCCUCCUAAAGAGUAACGGAGGAGCACGAAGGUUGGCUAAUCCUGGUCGGACAUCAGGAGGUUAGUGCAAUGGCAUAAGCCAGCUUGACUGCGAGCGUGACGGCGCGAGCAGGUGCGAAAGCAGGUCAUAGUGAUCCGGUGGUUCUGAAUGGAAGGGCCAUCGCUCAACGGAUAAAAGGUACUCCGGGGAUAACAGGCUGAUACCGCCCAAGAGUUCAUAUCGACGGCGGUGUUUGGCACCUCGAUGUCGGCUCAUCACAUCCUGGGGCUGAAGUAGGUCCCAAGGGUAUGGCUGUUCGCCAUUUAAAGUGGUACGCGAGCUGGGUUUAGAACGUCGUGAGACAGUUCGGUCCCUAUCUGCCGUGGGCGCUGGAGAACUGAGGGGGGCUGCUCCUAGUACGAGAGGACCGGAGUGGACGCAUCACUGGUGUUCGGGUUGUCAUGCCAAUGGCACUGCCCGGUAGCUAAAUGCGGAAGAGAUAAGUGCUGAAAGCAUCUAAGCACGAAACUUGCCCCGAGAUGAGUUCUCCCUGAGACUUUAAGUCUCCUGAAGGAACGUUGAAGACGACGACGUUGAUAGGCCGGGUGUGUAAGCGCAGCGAUGCGUUGAGCUAACCGGUACUAAUGAACCGUGAGGCUUAACCUU